GCGAGAGUGGCGGAACUGGCAGACGCGCCAGACUUAGGAUCUGGUGGGCGACCGUGGGGGUUCAAGUCCCCCCUCUCGCACCA
rnacentral:tRNA from 2 species